rfam:Spirochaeta coccoides DSM 17374, complete genome.
GCGAGAGUGGUGAAAUUGGCAGACACGCUAGACUUAGGAUCUAGUACCUUACGGUGUGCGGGUUCAAGUCCCGCCUCUCGCA